rnacentral:lncRNA from 1 species
GCAAAAACAGACAGUAUAGGUACAGGAGAAGGAUAUUGCUCAUAUUGAAGUGCUUAAACAAAUUCUUGUUGUGGCUGUUUGUGCCUUUACAAGUUUAUUGCAUCCCACUGUGUUUUUUUCAAGCAGGUUUACAUCUCUGGGAACUGCUUACUUCUGGAAGGCAGACAUCAGUCACAAAGAACAGCUAUUUUGGAGUUCUAGACCUUCAUCCUAAUACCUACAUUGAGAUUUCCACUUCUGCAUCACAGGACUUCAAGCCCCUCAUUCCCAGGAAUUUCUUUGGUUCUUCGCACUUAGUUCAGUAUGAAAGAUGUUUUGCCAGAAAUAUCCUAAACUCCUUCAGUGUCCUCCUAAAUGGGAGUCCUGAAGAAGCAGAAAAACACCCGAACACAGAAUCCCAAGUUAUCUCUGCUAACUGCAAGGAAUGAUCCAAACUUACAGGGUAAAUUGCUUUUCAUUUCCUGUGCUACAAGUCCCUGGGUCUCAAAUUUGUUAUUAUUUAUUAUAACAACACAGACUGAAUGGAAAAUGUUAAUUUGUUUUUUUCUUCCUGGAAGGUGAAGAACUGCAGAGAGAGGUAUGCAUGGAUCUAAGUAUUGCUUAAAAUAAAAACAAGAAUGCUUAAAAAU